rnacentral:rRNA from 1 species
GACGAACGCUGGCGGCGUGCCUAAUACAUGCAAGUCGAACGCACGAAGUUGAAGAGCUUGCUCUUUAACCAAGUGAGUGGCGGACGGGUGAGUAACACGUGGGUAACCUGCCCAUUAGAGGGGGAUAACAUUCGGAAACGGAUGCUAAUACCGCAUAGUUUCAGGAAUCGCAUGAUUCUUGAAGGAAAGGUGGCUUCGGCUACCACUAAUGGAUGGACCCGCGGCGUAUUAGCUAGUUGGUGAGGUAAUGGCUCACCAAGGCAAUGAUACGUGGCCGACCUGAGAGGGUGAUCGGCCACACUGGGACUGAGACACGGCCCAGAAUCCUACGGGAGGCAGCAGUAGGGAAUCUUCCGCAAUGGACGAAAGUCUGACGGAGCAACGCCGCGUGAGUGAAGAAGGUUUUCGGAUCGUAAAACUCUGUUGUUAAAGAAGAACAAGGAUGAGAGUAACUGCUCAUCCCCUGACGGUAUUUAACCAGAAAGCCACGGCUAACUACGUGCCAGCAGCCGCCGCCG